CCAUCCAAUCCCAUUGAAUUCGCCCUACUACAGUUGUAGAAAUCCCAACAGUGACUUUAAUAUGAAUUUGUGUAUUGUAUAGCACAAACUACUUAUAUACAUAUUUAUAUUUCGACCUUAAGGCGUUUUUACUAAGCUGAGCCUCACACACCACCCUAUCAUCAUGGUGACGAUUCUGUUCAGGAGAAUUAAAGAAAAGGGCCAGCUAAAAGAGGAACUUAAGGUUCAAACCUGAUUGAAAAAUAAUCUAAAGUGGCAACCUAAAGGGUUAAUAACCGAUUGACCAUUCCGACGAUGUAAAAUAAUACACGGGAUUCCAAGUUUUCUCCAACUACAACGAUGGCAACUUCAUCAAUAGUUGGUGCAUUAAAACGUCUUGCAUGUUUUCCAACAGGUGUUUUGUCAGCUCUGAUUACAAUUUUGUGAAUAUCAGAUGUCAUCAGAUCCAGUGCAGUUUUAAACAACAUAAGCAAUUGAUUGUGCUCAUGAAAUAAAGUUUGUAAUUGUUCUACAAUAGACCUCUUUAGUGAAUUAUUAUGUGAACAACGCAUAUCAAUUUCUUGUGGUGAAUUGCCCAUGAAAUAAAUUCACAGGAAUUUGUAAUUGCUAUCUGACACUGGUAAUAGUGAACCUGCUCAGUGAUAUAUUUGGUCUUGUACCUGUAAAUAAAAAAAAAUGAUUUGACCAAAUAUAAAUAAUAUUUGUUCCUAAAAAGUA